AGAACGAACGCUGGCGGCAGGCCUAACACAUGCAAGUCGAACGCCCUGGCAACAGGGAGUGGCAGACGGGUGAGUAACGCGUGGGAAUCUACCUUGUGGUACGGAACAACCAAGGGAAACUUUGGCUAAUACCGUAUGAGCCCUUCGGGGGAAAGAUUUAUCGCCAUAAGAUGAGCCCGCGUAGGAUUAGCUAGUUGGUGAGGUAAUGGCUCACCAAGGCGACGAUCCUUAGCUGGUCUGAGAGGAUGACCAGCCACACUGGGACUGAGACACGGCCCAGACUCCUACGGGAGGCAGCAGUGGGGAAUAUUGGACAAUGGGCGCAAGCCUGAUCCAGCCAUGCCGCGUGUGUGAUGAAGGCCUUAGGGUUGUAAAGCACUUUCGCCGAUGAAGAUAAUGACUGUAGUCGGAGAAGAAGCCCCGGCUAACUUCGCGCCAGCAGCCGC
rnacentral:rRNA from 1 species